rnacentral:rRNA from 1 species
CGCUAGAGUAACACGUGAGUAACCUGCCCUUAACUCUGGGAUAAGCCCUGACUAGCACUGCAUUGGCAUAGGUCUAAUACCGGAUAGGAGCGUCCACCGCAUGGUGGGUGUUGGAAAGAUUUAUCGGUUUUGGAUGGACUCGCGGCCUAUCAGCUUGUUGGUGAGGUAAUGGCUCACCAAGGCGACGACGGGUAGCCGGCCUGAGAGGGUGACCGGCCACACUGGGACUGAGACACGGCCCAGACUCCUACGGGAGGCAGCAGUGGGGAAUAUUGCACAAUGGGCGAAAGCCUGAUGCAGCGACGCCGCGUGAGGGAUGACGGCCUUCGGGUUGUAAACCUCUUUCAGUAGGGAAGAAGCGAAAGUGACGGUACCUGCAGAAGAAGCACCGGCUAACUACGUGCCAGCAGCCGCGGUAAUACGUAGGGUGCGAGCGUUAUCCGGAAUUAUUGGGCGUAAAGAGCUCGUAGGCGGUUUGUCGCGUCUGUCGUGAAAGUCCGGGGCUUAACCCCGGAUCUGCGGUGGGUACGGGCAGACUAGAGUGCAGUAGGGGAGACUGGAAUUCCUGGUGUAGCGGUGGAAUGCGCAGAUAUCAGGAGGAACACCGAUGGCGAAGGCAGGUCUCUGGGCUGUAACUGACGCUGAGGAGCGAAAGCAUGGGGAGCGAACAGGAUUAGAUACCCUGGUAGUCCAUGCCGUAAACGUUGGGCACUAGGUGUGGG